CCCCAAGCCCAGCGGUAGCUCUCUCAGCUCAUGCCAUGCACAGCCUGGAAACGUUGGAGCAUCCAGGACAUCAGCUCUUCUGCGAAGCUGACCAGAUGAGUCAUCUCAGCGUGGUCAGCAUCAUGUAACAAAGCAGCGCCAACAUGUGGGAGGUGACAGUUACGGCUGGACAUUUGCAGUGGAUUCUUUACCGGCUGAGCUACCAAGGAAGCCCUUCUUGAAGUUACCCUUGACCAGUUUGUUUGCACGGCACUGUGAUCGUUGCUUUGGGGAUACAAACAUGAGUGAAACAUCAUUUCCGCCCUCAAGGAAUUUACACGGGGAGACAGAGAGAUACAGAACUGCCACUGCGGGCAGGAUACAUUAAGUGCAAGAAGAGAGAUACUGCAGCGGAAAUACAUAUGCAUCUGGGGGGUGUCAUGCUUUGGAAGACACCCUGAAGUAUAAGUGAAAAGAUUCUUUGCUUAAAACGUUAAAACCACCACCACGACCAGCAGCAACAACAAGACCAACAAAACCCAAGACAGACGAGUUUUGUGGCAACAACAAUAAAAGCCCAGGUCACGGAGACAGACUGAGAAAGAGAGCAGAGAGCUGAUGAAAUUCUUUCCAAUUCUAAAGAGCUAGGAUUCACAGUAAAUAGAGUAAGAACCAGUCAGAAUGAGCAGCUUCCUUGCAGUCAGCAGGUACCUGGGCUCUCUCUGUCUUCCUGCAUCGUGCUUCCAGCAUGUGGUUUCACUUCUCAAGGUUAUUCACAGUGGCUGCUGGAAACCCAGCGAUGGUGUCCACACUGGAGAUAUCUGGAAGGAAGAGGAGAGACAUGUAAAGCAAAACAAAAAAUGAACAUUCAAAAACCCACGUCCAGAGUUACCUCUGUUUUUUAAGGAGACUUUUCAGUAGUUCUGUGGAACCUGAAGAAAGACCAGUUAACCUAAGCCGUGGACCAGGAGUUGGUCAUUUGUUCACAUCUAUAGCUGCAAGUUGCAAAAUGGAGGCAAAGUCCGCACAGUUCAGUUACUAAGGAAAAAGAGAAAAUGGUUCUUGAGGGACAACGGACAUCUCUGACAAUAAGGAUGUAAGUGAUUCAUGUUAAUACAUGAAAAAUUUCUCAGAAUUUUGUUAUUAAAUUUUUAUCCUUUCUUAGAACCAGAAACAGUCACAUGUUCUGACUGGUUUAAUGCUCUGUUAAUGGCAUGUAUAUGAUGAAUACAGUUUAAAAAUAAACGCAGUUUUGCAUUUCAAAGUUCAUCUAGGUUCUGCAUGUUCUGAUUUGGCUUUCAGCAAAAAUAACACUGGCUCUUGGGCUUUAACAGUUCACUUUCUGUUAAAUGUAGCACACAAUGUUUCAAUAUUAGAAGCUGACAGAAAAAUAUAUAAUGCUUUUGUGUGUUUGUGGUUUGCAUCUAC